rnacentral:rRNA from 1 species
GUACACUCCUGCGGGAGGCAGCAGUGGGGAAUAUUGCACAAUGGGCGCAAGCCUGAUGCAGCCAUGCCGCGUGUAUGAAGAAGGCCUUCGGGUUGUAAAGUACUUUCAGCGGGGAGGAAGGCGAUAAGGUUAAUAACCUUGUUGAUUGACGUUACCCGCAGAAGAAGCACCGGCUAACUCCGUGCCAGCAGCCGCGGUAAUACGGAGGGUGCAAGCGUUAAUCGGAAUUACUGGGCGUAAAGCGCACGCAGGCGGUCUGUCAAGUCGGAUGUGAAAUCCCCGGGCUCAACCUGGGAACUGCAUUCGAAACUGGCAGGCUAGAGUCUUGUAGAGGGGGGUAGAAUUCCAGGUGUAGCGGUGAAAUGCGUAGAGAUCUGGAGGAAUACCGGUGGCGAAGGCGGCCCCCUGGACAAAGACUGACGCUCAGGUGCGAAAGCGUGGGGAGCAAACAGGAUUAGAUACCCCAGUAGUCCCA